GAUGAACGCUGGCGGCGUGCCUAAUACAUGCAAGUCGAGCGAACAGACGAGGAGCUUGCUCCUCUGACGUUAGCGGCGGACGGGUGAGUAACACGUGGAUAACCUACCUAUAAGACUGGGAUAACUUCGGGAAACCGGAGCUAAUACCGGAUAAUAUAUUGAACCGCAUGGUUCAAUAGUGAAAGACGGUUUUGCUGUCACUUAUAGAUGGAUCCGCGCCGCAUUAGCUAGUUGGUAAGGUAACGGCUUACCAAGGCAACGAUGCGUAGACGAACUGAGAGGGUGAUCGGCCACACUGGAACUGAGACACGGUCCAGGCUCCUGCGGGAGGCAGCAGUAGGGAAUCGUCCGCAAUGGGCGAGAGCUUGACGGAGCAACGCCGCGUGAGUGAUGAAGGUCUUCGGAUCGUAAAACUCUGUUAUUAGGGAAGAACAAAUGUGUAAGUAACUAUGCACGUCUUGACGGUACCUAAUCAGAAAGCCACGGCUAACUACGUG
rnacentral:rRNA from 1 species